GACGAACGCUGGCGGCGUGCUUAACACAUGCAAGUCGAACGGAAAGGCCCUGCUUUUGUGAGGUUCUCUGGUGGCGAACGGGUGGGUAACAAGUGAGUAACCAACCCUUGACUUUGGGAUAACUUCAGGAAACUGAGGCUAAUAACUGCUACGAGCUCCUGCUGCAUGGUGGGGGUUGGAAAGUUUCGGCGGUUGGGGAUGGACUCGCGGCUUAUCAGCUUGUUGGUUGGGUAGUGGCUUACCAAGGCUUUGACGGGUAGCCGGCCUGAGAGGGUGACCGGCAACAUUGCGACUGAGAUACGGCCCAGACGCCUACGGGAGGCAGCAGUGGGGAAUAUUGCACAAUGGGCGGAAGCCUGAUGCAGCAACGCCGCGUGCGGGAUGACGGCCUUCGGGUUGUAAACCGCUUUCGCCUGUGACGAAGCGUGAGUGACGGUAAUGGGUAAAGAAGCACCGGCUAACUACGUG
rnacentral:rRNA from 1 species